UUUGAAAUUUACGGCAGCUAUGAAUGGAGCCUUCACUCCUCGUUUUCACUAUCUUGAUUCCCAUCUCUCUCACGCAUAGUGCUAUGAGCAGCGCGAGUCCAAUCGGCGCUUGCGCCGCCCGGCUCAUGGCUGCCGCGUGCUCGCCGCGGCGCGCUCGAUCGCGGUUGGCGCCGCUUGCGGCGGCGGUGGUUCCGGCCGGACUCUCGGAGGGGGUUCUUAUGCUGGCCGAUGCUGUCUCUUCCGCGCGCACGGAGGUAGGGGCCGGGACUCGCGACGAGCUCGUCUGCUUCGUUAGUUCCCAAUAUCAGCCGCCACUCGAGUGUCCCUCCUCCUCUCGCUUUCUGUUCGAUCCUCAACCCCUGCAUCCCUCAUGCCGAGGUGGCUGGUAGGAACGAGAUGUGCAAGCUAAUUAGAGAAGUUCAAUAUACCCGUAAUGCUCGAACUCAAAUGUACUGUUCUAUUUUGUGUAUGAUGAUAUGUUUAUUUGAUCGAAUGAAUUCGGUGUUGAUGUUGCUCCUUAAAGGUCAUGCUAUACCUUCAAGGUAUGCUUGUUCAAUGGCCUCUUUCAAUUUGUUUAUCAUAAGUUUUGUUAUAGCUUUGAUGACGUAAUAAAAUAUGUUCCGUAACAAGUUUAUUGCA